AGUGAGUGCCUGUGUGUGUGUGUGUGUGUGUGUGUGUGUGUUCAUCAGUGUGCGUGUGUGUGUGUGUGUGUUCAUGCCUGUGUGUGUGUGUGUGCCUGUGUGUGUGUGUGUGCGUGUGUGUGUGUGUGUGCCUGUGCCUGUGUGCGUGCGUGCGUGUGUGUGUGUGUUCGUCAGUGUGCGUGUGUGUGUGUGUGUGUGAGCCUGUGUGUGUGUGUGUGUGUGCCUGUGUGUGUGCCUGUGUGCGUGGGUGCGUGCGUGUGUGUGUGUGUGUGUGUGUGUGUGUGUCCCUGUAAAUGAACACAACCUUCUCUGUAUUAUUCGUGUGGUUCUCCCAGGUGCCAGUGCUCCAUCCUGGUGGAGUUCUUGUGUUCCUGACGCCCUUCAGUGUCCUCUGAACACAGAACACUGUACAUAGAAACCCCCCCCAGAAAUACACUCGAUGUCACGCAUGUAUGUGUGUGGGUGUGAGUGUGUGUGUGUGUGUGCGCACACAUUUACAAAAACACACACACACACCAACACGCAGUUUGUGUAUCCACUAACUGGACUUGUGAGGAGAAAGCGUGACGCUCUAUUCUUUAUUUCAUUCCUUUUUAUUUCAUCAAUUGUUAUUUUUGACCUCUUUCAAUGUUUCAACCGUUCUAUGUAUAGAGAGAUUUUCUAUUUUUUACUGAUAUUUCCUCUCGUCUGAAUUAAAAUGGACAUGUUUGUUCCAGUGGGAGCCUUGUGUGUGUUUGUAUUCUGAAACUCAGGAAAAAAAAAGAAUGUCUCAAAUUGUACAGGAUGCGGUUCGCCCCGAUAUUGUGAAUAUAGGACGAUCAAAGCUUUUGGGGAUGGUCUGAGAACCGUUUGUUCCUCAUAGGAUUUAAUAACACAAGCUGAAACCCAAAACCUAAAAACCAAUGUUUCUUUCAGUGGAGUAAAUAAUGUGUGUGUUGGCGGAUCGAGACAACCGCUAUCCUCUUUCCCUUCAGAGCGGACUUCAUUCGCGCUAGUCUGCCAUUCGGCUGAAGACAUGUCAAUCACUACCCGCCCAGAACAUUACAGCCAAUCAGCAGACCUCACUUGGGUUUCCUUGCAGACAUGCAGAAGCAACUAUACUGCUGAGAUGGAUCCACACCAAACCUCUGUUAAAUAAAGGAAAAGGCAAGGCAGGCAGACAGGCAGCGACCCUCAGAGAAGUACACACUCCACAGCUGACUGAGAGACAGCAACUCUCUGCUCUCCGAACGAUUCACCGUUUCUUUUCUUUUUUUUACGUCUUUCACAGAAUUCAAAACAUCCCUCAUGUCCACAGGGGAACUCGUCUUGGUCCGGAUUCAGGGGCCCUAUAUCAGAGGAGGAGCAGGGUCCUCACGUUCACCUAAAGGGAGGAUGAAUUGAUGAAGGAAUGAUCCUGGGAGGAAAGCGAGCGAGGGGGGGUCGAGAAAGAGUGCCAAGUGAGAGAAAG
ensembl:lncRNA